CCUACGGGAGGCAGCAGUGAGGAAUAUUGGUCAAUGGGCGAGAGCCUGAACCAGCCAAGUCGCGUGAAGGAUGAAGGACCUAUGGUCUGUAAACUUCUUUUAUAUGGGAAUAAAGUGAGGAACGUGUUCCUUUUUGUAUGUACCAUAUGAAUAAGCAUCGGCUAACUCCGUGCCAGCAGCCGCGGUAAUACGGAGGUUGCGAGCGUUAUCCGGUUUUAUUGGGUUUAAAGGGUGCGUAGGUGGUUAAUUAAGUCAGCGGUGAAAGUUUGUGGCUCAACCAUACAAUUGCCGUUGAAACGGGAUGACUUGAGUAUAGUUGAGGUAAGCGGAAUGCGUGGUGUAGCGGUGAAAUGCAUAGAGAUCAUGCAGAACUCCAGUGGCGAAGGCAGCUUACUAAUCUGUAACUGACACUGAAGCACGAAAGCGUGGGGAUCAAACAGGAUUAGAUACCCCGGUAGUC
rnacentral:rRNA from 1 species